AACUACAUGUGUGGUUGAGAAGCCUACAUUGCAUUAAUUUUCAGCGUCUUUAACAUGAAUGUUCUCUAUUGAGGCUAGUUCCAACAAAGUAAAGGUUAGUGACAUGUUAAGUAAUAGAAUAGAAUAGAAUAGAAUAGAAUAGAAUAGAAUAGAAUAGAAUAGAAUAGAACUUUAUUGGUCCCACAAAGGGGAAAUUACCCAACAGAUAACGACUCAGGUUUUUAAGUUACCAAGUUAAUGUGUCAUGAUAACUGUUAGCUCUGGAAAGAAAAAGAAUGAGAGAGAUCAAACAUGACUUUAGCAACAAUUUGCUCUUGUUGCUUAAACAGUUACAUGGGACUGCUGGUAAUGUGCUGUUUUUUCUUUUCUUGUUAUAAUACUUGGGUUGGUUGACAUUCAUUGUGUUCCAUUGUGUUUAUCUUUGAUCACCUAAGGAUUUAAUUGUGAGCAGUUAAAGGGUUUCAGGCCAGAGUCCAGAUCACCUGAUUUGCUGCUGGAUUUUUCCUGGAAACCAUGAAACGGUUUAAGAGACUUUUAUUGUCAUUUCCCAGUUGUAGAGUGUACAUAAGCAAAAAAGCAAAAACAAAAAGAAAACGCCCCCUGGGUGCAAAAAAAUAAUGAAAAUGUGUAUCCAAAUUAGGACUUUGCAUCUUAAUCAAUGUUUUAGCAUAGCUACAACAUAAAUAUUCAAAAGCUAAACUGAGGCAGGCAAAAGCAAAAUAAACAUAAAUACAUAGCAAACAAUGACAAACAAAGGGAGAGCCGUAGAGCUUAUACAACAUAGAGCAGCACAAAGAAGGCCUGACCACAAAACUUCGUUUAUGUUGGGAUUGUUGAUCCUAUAGACUUUAAGGAAUAAAAAGAUAAAACAGUGUUGCUCAAAAAAGUGCAUGCAGGAUAAAAUAUUUGUGCAAAUCUCACAAAUCUUGCUCCAGGAUUUUUCCUUACAGUUACACGAAAGGCUUUGUGUCAUAUAGUUAUGGACAGGCACAAACCACAAUUAUUAAUUUUUAGUCAUUGAUCAAUUUUCAAACGGUUGGGACUUUGGUGAAUUAAAAGGGACGCCAUCUACAGUAAACGCCACCAGAUCCGAGUCCUAAUUGGUCAAAGUUGGACCUGGUUUAACUUGCAAGGCAUGUUCAAUAGUCACACAUUUUGUACAUAGAGCCUGAAAACUGUCAUUGAAACCUGCAUAGCUACUCAUGAAAAGUAUGUCCAACACUCAUGAAAGCUACUCAGGGACUGCUUAAACGAGCGUUGCCAAGGACAGUGUAAAUGUAGAUUUAGAGCUCCAUUUUAAGCUCCAUUUUCUGCUUCCAUGUGCACCCCUCAGGACCUUGAAGCUGGACAUGCUCUUUACACACUCCCCUUUUAUGCAAAUAGGCUGCAGAUCUGUUUUCUUUCUCUUGAAAUCCACGAACAACUUUGUCAUGUCAUUUGUCAUGAAGGUGUUGAGGACUAUGUUCCCUGCACACCAUCCUACUAGUCUCUGGAUUCUUUCUCUGUAGGUCGUCUCUUCAUCUCCAGAGAUGAGACCAGAGAUGGUGGUGUCAUCUGCGAAUUUCACACAAGUCAGAGGUCUGUCAACAGGCCCAGGCUUGACUGCAGAGCGCCCUCAGCCCACUCUCCCAGAAGUGAAAAGUGCUGGAAGUCAGACUUCUAAUCAUAACAUCCGCGCAAGAGGCAGGCGAUAAAAUAAAUGUCAUUCUUGUCAAACACGAAUGCCACUGAAGCAAAAGUAAGCAGAAGUUCUCUGUCUUCCAUUUUCUCAUUAUCUUUAUUAUUAUUACCACAGCAGGCGGUCAAGGUUCACUGACAGAGCACACUUAACCGUGUUUCCUGUCACAUACACACUUAACCAACACACACACACACGUAUAUAUCUCCUGUCUCUGCUAACACCAGCCCUGGUCUGUGUGCUCUGCUAAUAUUGACUCCUGACUAACACAGCCUCUAUUGAGUCAAACACAAAACUGUUUGACUAGAAUUAGAACAUCAUUGAGAUAACAGCCUUGGACCUGUGCAGGCUGGAGCUGUGGUGUUAAUGUAAAGCAGACCAGGAGCACCAAUGAGGGCGGUGAGGGUAAGGAGGUGGAUUUCACAAUCUGGUCUCUAAACAAAUGUUUUCUCACUCUUAGACUUAGACUUUUAUCACCCGUACACAACAGCAGCCACUUGCGAAACGUCUUUUUGUGAAUUUGCACACACAGCGUGUGGGCCGUCCUCUGUUUAUGAGUGUGUCACCUCUGUCAUGAAGCCCAUUGAGUGGCCAUGGUUGUACAAAUGUUUUGUCUGUGAGGUCACUGCGUGGUUUGUGUCUGUGACAAAAAAAACACCAAAAAACAAAAUUCUGUCAAACUGCAGAAACACAAGCUUUCUUUGUUUGCUGAAGCAUGCUUAUAAUCUGAAUGUGGGCAUUAAGUGCUUACCAUCAGUUACACAUUGAAGUCAUAAUGUUAACGCAACCGUAAAACACACAAAGAUAAUAAAAAAAAAAACAUCUUUAAACUUUUCAACACUCAUUCCUGUCCUUUAUCUCUCACGUACCCAUUUCACUAUCUGGGUCUGCGAUCUCUGCAUAUUUGUUUUAACUAAGAUCUAUAUUUAUACUUUCUGUGAGUGCUUGAAUUCUUACUCAAUGUAGUGUGUCGCGUUUUACUCAAUUUAUUUUCUUUGUUUUAGCUUGAUAUCCUACAAUCUCCUGGAAACAAGAGAGUUAACAUUCACUAGUCACUCCUAGAAAACAACUUUAUCUUCAUUGUCUUUAUUGUCCAAAAACUUGUAAAACACAUUGGAUAUAGAUGUGACAUAAUAUUAUACUAAGAGGUGUACUGAUAGAUGCUAAUGUGUGUGUUUGUGUGUUGAGAACACAUGAAAUGUGAAAUGUAUAGUACACCUUGAAAGUCCCUCUCCGAUGAAAAUCAUCUUUUCUGUGUUUUUAACUUGUUCCUGUGGCAUCUGUUUUAUGAUGUAGGACAUAUGUAAAGAAAAUCUGUUUAAAAUUGCA